rnacentral:rRNA from 1 species
UACGGGGGAGCAAGCGUUGUUCGGAUUUACUGGGCGUAAAGGGCGCGUAGGCGGCCACCGCAAGUCGACUGUGAAAUCUCCGGGCUUAACCCGGAAAGGUCAGCCGAUACUGCGGGGCUAGAGUGCAGAGGGGCAACUGGAAUUCUCGGGUGUAGCGGUGAAAUGCGUAGAUAUCGAGAGGAACACCUGCGGCGAAGGCGGGUUGCUGGGCUGACACUGACGUGAGGCGCGAAAGCUAGGGGAGCGAACGGG